UCUAGGACGUACAAGCUAACUGG
rnacentral:snRNA from 1 species